rnacentral:rRNA from 1 species
GUUGUAUGGUUAAGUGACUAAGCGUACACGGUGGAUGCCUGGGCAGUCAGAGGCGAUGAAGGACGUACUAACUUGCGAUAAGCGCAGAUAAGGCAGUAAGAGCCGUUUGAGUCUGCGAUUUCCGAAUGGGGAAACCCAACUGCAUAAGCAGUUACUGUUAACUGAAUACAUAGGUUAACAGAGCAAACCGGGGGAACUGAAACAUCUAAGUACCCCGAGGAGAAGAAAUCAACCGAGAUUCCGGUAGUAGCGGCGAGCGAACCUGGAUUAGCCCUUAAGCACUCGGUGAAGUAGGUGAACAAGCUGGAAAGCUUGGCGAUACAGGGUGAUAGCCCCGUAACCGACGCUUCAUCGAGCGUGAAAUCGAGUAGGGCGGGACACGUGAUAUCCUGUCUGAAUAUGGGGGGACCAUCCUCCAAGGCUAAAUACUCCUGACUGACCGAUAGUGAACCAGUACCGUGAGGGAAAGGCGAAAAGAACCCCUGUGAGGGGAGUGAAAUAGAACCUGAAACCGUGUACGUACAAGCAGUAGGAGCACCUUCGUGGUGUGACUGCGUACCUUUUGUAUAAUGGGUCAGCGACUUAUAUUCAGUGGCAAGGUUAACCGUAUAGGGGAGCCGUAGCGAAAGCGAGUCUUAACUGGGCGCUCAGUCUCUGGAUAUAGACCCGAAACCGGGUGAUCUAGCCAUGGGCAGGUUGAAGGUUGAGUAACAUCAACUGGAGGACCGAACCGACUAAUGUUGAAAAAUUAGCGGAUGACUUGUGGCUAGGGGUGAAAGGCCAAUCAAACUCGGAGAUAGCUGGUUCUCCCCGAAAGCUAUUUAGGUAGCGCCUCGGACGAAUACUACUGGGGGUAGAGCACUGUUAAGGCUAGGGGGUCAUCCCGACUUACCAACCCUUUGCAAACUCCGAAUACCAGUAAGUACUAUCCGGGAGACACACGGCGGGUGCUAACGUCCGUCGUGGAGAGGGAAACAACCCAGACCGCCAGCUAAGGUCCCAAAGUAUUGCUAAGUGGGAAACGAUGUGGGAAGGCUCAGACAGCUAGGAUGUUGGCUUAGAAGCAGCCAUCAUUUAAAGAAAGCGUAAUAGCUCACUAGUCGAGUCGGCCUGCGCGGAAGAUGUAACGGGGCUAAGCAAUACACCGAAGCUGCGGCAAUGUCUUUUAGACAUUGGGUAGGGGAGCGUUCUGUAAGCCGUUGAAGGUGAAUCGUAAGGUUUGCUGGAGGUAUCAGAAGUGCGAAUGCUGACAUGAGUAACGACAAAGGGGGUGAAAAACCUCCUCGCCGGAAGACCAAGGGUUCCUGUCCAACGUUAAUCGGGGCAGGGUGAGUCGACCCCUAAGGUGAGGCCGAAAGGCGUAAUCGAUGGGAAACGGGUUAAUAUUCCCGUACUUCUGACUAUUGCGAUGGGGGGACGGAGAAGGCUAGGUGGGCCAGGCGACGGUUGUCCUGGUUCAAGUGCGUAGGCUUGAGAGUUAGGUAAAUCCGGCUCUCUCUAAGGCUGAGACACGACGUCGAGCUACUACGGUAGUGAAGUCAUUGAUGCCAUGCUUCCAGGAAAAGCCUCUAAGCUUCAGAUAGUCAGGAAUCGUACCCCAAACCGACACAGGUGGUCGGGUAGAGAAUACCAAGGCGCUUGAGAGAACUCGGGUGAAGGAACUAGGCAAAAUGGUACCGUAACUUCGGGAGAAGGUACGCUCUUGAUGGUGAAGUCCCUCGCGGAUGGAGCUGACGAGAGUCGCAGAUACCAGGUGGCUGCAACUGUUUAUUAAAAACACAGCACUGUGCAAAAUCGCAAGAUGACGUAUACGGUGUGACGCCUGCCCGGUGCCGGAAGGUUAAUUGAUGGGGUUAGCGCAAGCGAAGCUCUUGAUCGAAGCCCCGGUAAACGGCGGCCGUAACUAUAACGGUCCUAAGGUAGCGAAAUUCCUUGUCGGGUAAGUUCCGACCUGCACGAAUGGCGUAAUGAUGGCCACGCUGUCUCCACCCGAGACUCAGUGAAAUUGAAAUCGCUGUGAAGAUGCAGUGUACCCGCGGCUAGACGGAAAGACCCCGUGAACCUUUACUACAGCUUGGCACUGAACAUUGAACCUACAUGUGUAGGAUAGGUGGGAGGCUAUGAAGACGUGACGCCAGUUGCGUUGGAGCCGUCCUUGAAAUACCACCCUUGUAUGUUUGAUGUUCUAACUUAGACCCAUUAUCUGGGUUGAGGACAGUGCCUGGUGGGUAGUUUGACUGGGGCGGUCUCCUCCCAAAGAGUAACGGAGGAGCACGAAGGUGGGCUAAUCACGGUUGGACAUCGUGAGGUUAGUGCAAUGGCAUAAGCCCGCUUAACUGCGAGAAUGACGGUUCGAGCAGGUGCGAAAGCAGGUCAUAGUGAUCCGGUGGUUCUGUAUGGAAGGGCCAUCGCUCAACGGAUAAAAGGUACUCCGGGGAUAACAGGCUGAUACCGCCCAAGAGUUCAUAUCGACGGCGGUGUUUGGCACCUCGAUGUCGGCUCAUCACAUCCUGGGGCUGAAGUCGGUCCCAAGGGUAUGGCUGUUCGCCAUUUAAAGUGGUACGCGAGCUGGGUUUAGAACGUCGUGAGACAGUUCGGUCCCUAUCUGCCGUGGGCGUUGGAAGAUUGAAGGGGGCUGCUCCUAGUACGAGAGGACCGGAGUGGACGAACCUCUGGUGUUCGGGUUGUGUCGCCAGACGCAUUGCCCGGUAGCUAAGUUCGGAAUUGAUAAGCGCUGAAAGCAUCUAAGCGCGAAGCGAGCCCUGAGAUGAGUCUUCCCUGAC